rnacentral:rRNA from 1 species
GACAGAGGGGGCAAGCGUUGCUCGGAAUCACUGGGCGUAAAGGGCGCGUAGGCGGGAUGGCAAGUCAGUCGUGAAAUCUCUCGGCUCAACCGAGAAACGUCGGCUGAUACUGCCGUUCUUGAGGGAUGCAGAGGAGACUGGAAUUCCCGGUGUAGCGGUGAAAUGUGUAGAGAUCGGGAGGAACACCGGUGGCGAAGGCGGUCUGCUGGGCAGUUGCUGACACUGAGGCGCGACAGCGUGGGGAGCAAACAGG